UCUUUUGUGCCUGCUUUCUUUUUUCGGAGGAGAGAGAGAGAGAUUUAGAGAUUUUUUUUUCUUGGUUUAGAAUUUCGGAGAGAGAGAGAGAGAGAAGGUCAGAGGAGCUAGGGCGUCCCUGAAGCGUUUGCUGCUUCUCACUGUUGGUGGAAGAAAUCAGGGGUUGAAAUUUGCAACUCGGGAGAGUUUAUUUAUCCUUUCUGCAGUAGCAAAUGAGUUUUACAUUUCUAUAAUGUAGUCAAUAAUGUUUGUUGACUUGUCUUUUCCACCCUGCAGGUACUUUUGCCCUUGCACAAAAUGGAUGAAAAAGGCAGAUCAGCAGAAUGCUCAGAUGACUUGAUAUCUGACAUGUUGUUUAUUUCAGAUGUUGGGGCUUUUGGACAAUCGCCUCUUAGAAUUCAGUUAGUUUCGAGAAGAGGUAGUAGCUUUUGCCAAUCAUGCAAGAAAGAUACAAGAUAAGGAAGAUGCAGAGCACCACAAAAAUUGAUGACAACCAAAAUUACCUUCUUAUGCGUGGCUUUCUUUGUUUAAUGGAAAAAGCAUUUGGAGGUCUUAGUCCUGGUUUGCUUGACUAAUAUGGGAAAUUCCAACUUGCCCAAGUUGGAAUUGGUGGAGGCAUUAGGCAUUAUAGUAGCACCCGACUAAGGGAGGGUUUAUAAGUGUUGCCAGUUAUGAAAAACAGUAAUAUUCUUUCCUAUGAAUUAUUUUCCACCAGGUAUGGCUUAUGAUUUUGACAUCUUUUUGGGUAUGUGCCUGUAUCCCUAGCUUUGAGGGAUUGCUUACAUCUUUUAUCCUUACAUCUUUUAUCCGUUUCCAUUUGACCCACAUUGCUUAAAUCUUUUAUCUUUCCAUUUGACCCACAUUCGUAGGGCAAGAUCUGCUGAAGGAUUUCCUGUGGCUCUUAAUUGAGGACAUCGUUUCAGUUUUUCUGUUUGUCUUCAUCCAAUUAUCUUCACUUGGCGGUUGGUUUCCCUUUACACGGAAGAAAAAGAGUUACUACAAUACUGAAGUUCUUUCUGUCUGGAAUCUCAAUGGUUGUUUUGAGCUCCAAGAGCUGGUGAUCCUAGUAGUAAGUUCUUACUAGAUGGUGCUCAAUCGAAAAGUGCGAAUGAAGCAAGUUGAAGAUGAGUUUCAGAUGUUCUUGAGCUCGGAAAACAUUGCUAAAUCUUGAUUUCCUUGAACAACGUUGGAGAGCAGGUUGCUAAACCAACCGAAGUACUUUUAUAGGUUGAUUUCCCGAGUCUCGCUGUCUUGGUGCAGUGAUCCCAAGUUCUUUGUUCUACUACUGCCCUCUGCUCUUCAAAGGUGCUUUGGUUAUGUUUAAUAAUUUGUUUUUAGUCAUAAUUGUUUGAAUCAUAGGACUUCCGAAAAUUGUAUCUUUACUAAAUUGAUGUCAGCACAAGUGUUUUUUUUAAUGGUUGUAUUGCAAUGUAAUUUUUUUGAAUAGUUGGUUGUAUUAUAAUAUUGUUUUGUCAGAUGUUGUAUUGUAAUGUAUAACUGAAGUAGGAUUGAGAUUGUUGAAAA